rnacentral:rRNA from 21 species
AUGACUCUCGGCAACGGAUAUCUUGGUCCUCGCAUCGAUGAAGAACGUAGCGAAAUGCGAUACUUGGUGUGAAUUGCAGAAUCCCGUGAACCAUCGAGUUUUUGAACGCAAGUUGCGCCCUAAGCUUCCGGGCCGAGGGCAAGCCUGCGUGGG